UAUUGGCCAAUGGGCGAAAGCCUGAUCCCAGCAAUGCCGCGUGAGUGAUGAAGGCCUUAGGGUUGUAAAGCUCUUUACCCGGGAUGAUAAUGACAGUACCGGGAGAAUAAGCUCCGGCUAACUCCGUGCCAGCAGCCGCGGUAAUACGGAGGGAGCUAGCGUUGUUCGGAAUUACUGGGCGUAAAGCGCACGUAGGCGGCUUUGUAAGUUAGAGGUGAAAGCCUGGAGCUCAACUCCAGAAUUGCCUUUGAUACUGCAUCGCUUGAAUCCAGGAGAGGUGAGUGGAAUUCCGAGUGUAGAGGUGAAAUUCGUAGAUAUUCGGAAGAACCACCAGUGGCGAAGGCGGCUCACUGGACUGGUAUUGACGCUGAGGUGCGAAA
rnacentral:rRNA from 1 species